rnacentral:tRNA from 1 species
GGGGAUAUAGCUCAGUGGUAGAGUGCUUGCCUGGCAGGCACAAAGCCCUGGGUUCAAUCCCCAGUCCACCCA